rnacentral:rRNA from 2 species
CACCGCGGUUAGACGGGAGGCUCGAAUUGAUGCUACACGGCGUAAAGCGUGAUUAAAAAACAAACAGACUAAAGCCAAACACCUCCUAAGCUGUCAUACGCUACUGGAUAAGACGAAGCCCCAUAACGAAAGUAGCUUUAAUACCUUUGAAUACACGACAGUUAAGAAA